rnacentral:rRNA from 1 species
AGUGGCGAACGGGUGAGUAACACGUAGAUGAUCUACCUUUUAGUUGGGGAUAGCCCAUGGAAACAUGGAGUAAUACCGAAUAAUCUCUUAUUCUUUUAGGAAUUAGAGGAAAGAAGCGUUUGCUUCGCUGAAAGAUGAGUCUGCGCACUAUUAGCUAGUUGGUGGGGUAAGAGCCUACCAAGGCGACGAUAGUUAGCCGACCUGAGAGGGUGAUCGGCCACAUUGGGACUGAGACACGGCCCAGACUCC